GCCGAAUUAGCUCAGUCGUGAGAGCGUUAGACUGAAGAUCUAAAGGUCGUGGUUCGAUCCCGGGUUUUGGCA
rnacentral:tRNA from 1 species